rnacentral:rRNA from 1 species
CGGGGAAAAUGGGGGGGACCUUUAUCGGCCUUCCGUCAUCAGAUGAGUCUGCGUACCAUUAGCUAGUUGGUAGGGUAAAGGCCUACCAAGGCGACGAUGGUUAGCUGGUCUGAGAGGAUGAUCAGCCACACUGGAACUGAGACACGGUCCAGACUCCUACGGGAGGCAGCAGUGGGGAAUUUUGCGCAAUGGGGGGAAACCCUGACGCAGCAACGCCGCGUGAGUGAUGAAGGCCCUUGGGUCGUAAAGCUCUGACAGAGGGAAAGAAGUGUAGAGUGGCUAAUAUCCACAUUACUUGACGGUACCCUCAAAGGAAGCACCGGCUAACUCCGUGCCAGCAGCCGCGGUAA